ensembl:lncRNA
CUCCAACUAUACCAACCAGUAUCCUUUCCACAGAGCCCUAAGACAUUAUUUUGGCACCUGGGAUAAUUGUUUUUCAGGAAAAUAGCAACAAAGAAAGCCCCACAUUUGAAUGCAGAUGUAAUGGAAGCUAUUGCUUUCUUUGAUUCCAUCAUUGCUGAACUGGAGACAGAGAAACGUCCUCGAGGUCCUGUGGCAGAGCCUGCAAAUGAAGACGUCGACUUUGAUGUGGCAACUAGCUCCCAGGAACACAGCUUGCACUCCAACUGGAUCCUUCGGGCUCCUCGAAGGCACUCAGAAGACAUCACAUCUCAUACCAUUCGAAUAGUGGAAAGUCAUCUUCGGAAAAACAUUGAGAGGAGAACCAUCAGCACUCAGAGGAGGCUGGAGAGGCAUCCCAUUUACUUGCCCAAGGCUGUGGAGGGUGCUUUCAGUACCUUAAAAUUUAAACCCAAAGCCAGUGAAAGAGACCUGGGCACCUCCAAGCAGAUUCUCUUCAGCCUCACUUGUGAAGAACCAGAAUGGGACAUGGAAUUCUCCCUGGAGUCAAUGGGAACACCAAGAGAAGAAAGCUACGUGCCAGAGGUCCCGUCUGGACAGUGGUUCCUUUCAGAAAGACCUUGGCAGCAGACUAUGUACUGAGACAGUUUGUACCCUUAGACCCUUUCCCCUGAGCUGGCCCAGUCCCUCAACUCUGUUUUGGAGAGAAACAAUUUGAUUCUCAACUCAGAGCAGUGUUUGACACAAUUUAAGACUAAAAUAUUUCUGCUUCUUAAAAAAAAAAUACCACCAAAAAACGUCCUGGGAUGGAGUUCCACAGAGCAGCCUGUCCUCUCUUCCCAAGGCUUUGUGCCUUCUUAUUGCCAAAUAGUCCUGCCUCAGUACCCCAAGAGUGGAUUAUAUAAUGAAAUCAAGGCUUUUGAGGAAAAUGACCUCAGGCACCUGGUUCCCUGAGGUCAGGCUGGGAUGCUUCCUAGAUCAGAAACCUCUCUUGUCACAAUCUUCAAGACUCACUGUUCUCAUUUAUUGUUCACUACACUGACCAUGUUUCCCUGUUCUGCCUAAUAACCUAAAGUAUCAGGUGUCCAAGUAGGUAUUAAUGGCAUCGACUGCAACAGAAUGCAGAGAAAGACCCUUGCCUCUGAUCUGGUGAGAAAUAUUUCACUUCUGGUCCUCCAAACAAGUUUGCCAGGGCCUUCCCCUUCCGGUUGCCUCCCUACUCCCUGGCCAUGCACCCUGAGGGGCCUCCUGCUUUCCCAAGGCCUUUCAGCUCAGAGGUGGAAAAAUUGAGGAAAUAGUUAACCCUCAUAUUGUGAUCUCCUGCCAUUAUUUCUUCCUUCAUUCUAGUUCGAGUUCAAGGGAACACAGCCUUCCUGGAUGUUCCAAGGGAAGAAUCUGGGCAAAUUGUCACAAGAUUAGAAUAACUAUGCUUCUAUUUUGUACUGAAAGGUAGUUCUUUCAUUAUUUUCCAACUCCCAUGCACACUCCAACCCUCCCUGACCAGUAACUGGAUACUUGUGGUAGGAGAAAAUGAUGGAGGAGGACCAGUGGGAAGAAAGAUGUAUGUAUGCAGCCCACCUUAAUUAAGACUCCCAUCAGCCACAAAGAAGGGAAGGAAUUCAGCUUCUUAACUGCCUUUACCUCAGACUAGAGAAUAUACUUGGGCCUUUCUCUCCUCUUUCCUUUAUUUCUGCCCUGGGCACUGGGGCUGGGAACAGGGCAGAAGGUCUCUUCCUUAGUCUCCUUGGGGCCAAGUCUCUUUAGGAUGUUCCGACCACAGAAGUAGAUUCCUCAGGACUCUCCCAGGGUUCAAGUAAUACUGUGUUGACAUUAGCAAGGCUUUGUUUUUUAAAGUUUUCAUUUUGUGAAUGUAUGAUCUAAACACACUUCACCUUUUUGGGCACUAGUCUACAUUUCAAUUCUACGGCAGCCUUUGGCUUUUUAUACGCUUUCCAUUUGCAAGGAGAAAAUUCUUGGAAUUGUUUUUAAUCUUAUCUCAAUUUUUUUUUUUUGAGUGCCAAUUUCCAAGAUGAGUUUUUGCUGGGUUUUUUUUUGUGUUUUUUGUUUUUACUCCUUAUGCUAACACAUAGCUGCUUUUAUUAACACAACCCUGAAAAAAACAGACAUUUUGUUUUUCUCUGAUCAAUAAAUAUUCAGGGAACUUCUAGAUAUGAGUCA